UUGAACGCUGGCGGCAGGCCUAACACAUGCAAGUCGAACGGUAACAGGAAGCAGCUUGCUGCUUUGCUGACGAGUGGCGGCCGGGUGAGUAAUGUCUGGGAAACUGCCUGAUGGAGGGGGAUAACUACUGGAAACGGUAGCUAAUACCGCAUAACGUCGCAAGACCAAAGAGGGGGACCUUCGGGCCUCUUGCCAUCGGAUGUGCCCAGAUGGGAUUAGCUAGUAGGUGGGGUAACGGCUCACCUAGGCGACGAUCCCUAGCUGGUCUGAGAGGAUGACCAGCCACACUGGAACUGAGACACGGUCCAGACUCCUACGGGAGGCAGCAGUGGGGAAUAUUGCACAAUGGGCGCAAGCCUGAUGCAGCCAUGCCGCGUGUAUGAAGAAGGCCUUCGGGUUGUAAAGUACUUUCAGCGGGGAGGAAGGGAGUAAAGUUAAUACCUUUGCUCAUUGACGUUACCCGCAGAAGAAGCACCGGCUAACUCCGUG
rnacentral:rRNA from 1 species